rnacentral:lncRNA from 1 species
GCAAAGCAUGCCCAAGUGUGCUGGUUAGUCACAAGGCAGUUUAGAAUCAAUGGACCGAAAAGAAGUAAGGGUAGUCUUCUGAAGGAGGACAACUUGAAGAGCAGUAGCUAGACCUAGUGAUACAGUCAUUCAUUUCAGUCAUCUUCAUCUUCUUUGAGGCAAGCAUCCAAGUACAGAAGGAAUCUAGGAAGUGUAUCAAAAAAGGGAGAAGAGAAGGGAAUCCCCUCACACUGUUUCAGCCUAUUGGAUGCGCUGCUGUGCAUCAUUCAGGUUUUUGAACCGAAUGAAGCGGCUGAUAGCCCAAUGUUCCAGUCAUGCCAAAACAGGAAGAGGAGGACUAGCUACUGAGAUUCCCUAGAGAGUGGAGAAAGAGGAAGAGAAUACUGAUGGGAGGAGUAGUGCAACCCCCAAGAUCAUUAUAUGGGUACUGUAUCUGGGGAAACAGAAAGCUGACAGAAGAAAGGUUAAAGCUUUGUGUGAAAUAAAGGGUCCUU